rnacentral:lncRNA from 1 species
GGAAGAUUCAGCCAGCACACUGCUCGCGAGCAAGUGUCAGUCUGCUGACUGGCAGAGUCAGGAGACGUAGAUGGCCACACCCACAGACCCAGCUGCAAUGCCCCAUCCUGGGCCCUCCCCGGGGCCUGGACCUUCUCCUGGACCAAUUCUGGGGCCUAGUCCAGGACCAGGACCGUCCCCAGGUUCUGUGCACAGUAUGAUGGGGCCCAGUCCUGGACCUCCCAGUGUCUCACAUCCUAUGUCGACAAUGGGCUCGGCAGACUUCCCACAGGAAGGCUUGCACCAGCUGCAUAAGCCCAUGGAUGGGAUACAUGACAAGGGGAUUGUAGAAGAUGUCCACUGUGGAUCCAUGAAGGGUACCAGUAUGCGCCCACCACACCCAGGAAUGGGCCCUCCACAGAGCCCAAUGGAUCAGCACAGCCAAGGUUAUAUGUCACCACAUCCAUCUCCUUUGGGAGCCCCAGAGCAUGUCUCCAGCCCUAUAUCUGGAGGAGGCCCAACCCCACCCCAGAUGCCGCCGAGCCAGCCAGGGACACUCAUCCCAGGAGAUCUGCAGGCCAUGAACCAGCCUAACAGAGGUCCCUCGCCUUUCAGUCCCGUACAGCUGCAUCAGCUUCGAGCUCAGAUUUUAGCUUACAAAAUGUUGGCCAGGGGCCAGCCCCUCCCUGAAACUCUGCAGCUUGCAGUCCAGGGAAAAAGGACCUUGCCUGGUAU